rnacentral:rRNA from 1 species
AGUGAACGCUGGCGGUAGGCCUAACACAUGCAAGUCGAACGGCAGCACAGAGGAGCUUGCUCCUUGGGUGGCGAGUGGCGGACGGGUGAGGAAUACAUCGGAAUCUACUCUGUCGUGGGGGAUAACGUAGGGAAACUUACGCUAAUACCGCAUACGACCUACGGGUGAAAGCAGGGGAUCUUCGGACCUUGCGCGAUUGAAUGAGCCGAUGUCGGAUUAGCUAGUUGGCGGGGUAAGGCCCACCAAGGCGACGAUCCGUAGCUGGUCUGAGAGGAUGAUCAGCCACACUGGAACUGAGACACGGUCCAGACUCCUACGGGAGGCAGCAGUGGGGAAUAUUGGACAAUGGGCGCAAGCCUGAUCCAGCCAUACCGCGUGGGUGAAGAAGGCCUUCGGGUUGUAAAGCCCUUUUGUUGGGAAAGAAAUCCAUCUGGUUAAUACCCGGGUGGGGUGACGGUACCCAAAGAAUAAGCACCGGCUAACUUCGUGCCAGCAGCCGCGGUAA